rnacentral:piRNA from 1 species
UGUGAUGGAUGAGUAAUUUUG